AAAAUCGUGGCGCUUCCGCCACUCAAUUGUAUUCUGGAGAAGCUGCCUCUGCGGUGGACCAGGCCCAAGUUCCCUGGAACGGAACCUCGGAGAGGGUGAGAACCCCUUCGAGCCUGGACCCUACCGCUCCACGAGGCGCUGUCUGCGAGUCGGGCUGUUUGGGAAUGCAGCCCUAAGUGGGUGGUAAAUUCCAUCUAAGGCUAAAUAUUGGCAAGAGACCGAUAGCGAACAAGUACCGCGAGGGAAAGAUGAAAAGGACUUUGAAAAGAGAGUUAAAAAGUGCUUGAAAUUGCUGGGAGGGAAGCGAAUGGAAGCUGCGGGUGUGCCUCGGUUGGAUGUGGAACGGCCCCAUUAAACGGGCUGGUCCGCCGCUCAACGCGGGGCACUGGUCAGCGUGGGCCACUCCGGCGGGACAAGAGCGGGAUGUAAUUUCCCGCCUAUGCCGUUGGGGUGGCCGAGGAACGAAGCAUGCGCCCCCCACCCCCCCCUCCUUGGAGGGGGGGGCGCGGGCGUGGCACUCUUGUGCCAACUGCGCGCUCGGGACGCUGGCGUAUUGAGCUCUUCAUCCGACCCGUCUUGAAACACGGACCAAGGAGUCUAACAUGUAUGCGAGCCGGUGGGCGGCAAACCCAUUGAGGCGCAAGAAAACUGACA
rnacentral:rRNA from 1 species